rnacentral:tRNA from 1 species
CAAAGAAUAGUUAAAUUUUUAGAAUCCUAGCUUUGGGAGUUAGGGGUGGGGGUUAAAAUCCCUCUUCUUUGA